UACGAAGGGGGCUAGCGUUGCUCGGAAUCACUGGGCGUAAAGGGUGCGUAGGCGGGUCUUUAAGUCAGGGGUGAAAUCCUGGAGCUCAACUCCAGAACUGCCUUUGAUACUGAAGAUCUUGAGUUCGGGAGAGGUGAGUGGAACUCCGAGUGUAGAGGUGAAAUUCGUAGAUAUUCGGAAGAACACCAGUGGCGAAGGCGACUCACUGGCCCGAUACUGACGCUGAGG
rnacentral:rRNA from 1 species